rnacentral:rRNA from 1 species
GCGAGUGAAGCGGCAAAAGCUCAAAUUUGAAAUCUGGUACCUUUGGUGCCCGAGUUGUAAUUUGGAGAGUACCACUUUGGGACUGUACUUUGCCUAUGUUCCUUGGAACAGGACGUCAUGGAGGGUGAGAAUCCCGUGUGGCGAGGGUGUCAGUUCUUUGUAAAGGGUGCUCGAAGAGUCGAGUUGUUUGGGAAUGCAGCUCUAAGUGGGUGGUAAAUUCCAUCUAAAGCUAAAUACAGGCGAGAGACCGAUAGCGAACAAGUACAGUGAUGGAAAGAUGAAAAGAACUUUGAAAAGAGAGUGAAAAAGUACGUGAAAUUGUUGAAAGGGAAGGGCAUUUGAUCAGACAUGGUGUUUUGCGCCCCUUGCCUCUCGUGGGCUUGGGACUCUCGCAGCUCACUGGGCCAGCAUCGGUUUUGGCGGCCGGAAAAAACCUAGGGAAUGUGGCUCUGCGCCUCGGUGUAGAGUGUUAUAGCCCUGGGGAAUACGGCCAGCCGGGACCGAGGACUGCGAUACUUGUUAUCUAGGAUGCUGGCAUAAUGGUUAUAUGCCGCCCGUCU